CUCAAAGCCUACUGCGCGCAACGGUUUCAUGCUCUCGACAAUGUUAUAGAACCCGCCGUGUGAACAAUCGUUGAAUGACUAUAAAAGUGUCACACCUCGAUUGGGACGGCAUCAUUCGGAUAGUUGCAGUUCUGUGUGAGUUGAGCUCUAAAUAGUAGAUAACGAAGCGGGCGGCAGUGAUAACCAAGACAAGUCGAUACAGUGAAUACCAAACCAGAUUACAAUUUCCAUCAUUAAAAAUGCCGUGCAAGUGCUGUGGUAAUGAUUGCAAGUGCAACGCCAGUUGCGGACAAGGCAAACCGUGUGGCACCGAAUGCAACUGCAACUGUGCCAUCAAGAAGGAAACCGGUAAGGAUUGCUGCGAGUCGGGAAGCUGCAAGAAGUAGAUUCUGACGAGGGGUAUCAUUGCAUACGGAAUAAGAUUUGUGUAACAUUUGAUAAUGUAACCAUCGUUCAUAAAGCAACAAUAAAGAUGAAUUAUUGACUAAGAGAUAUUGAAGAUUAUAUCAUAAUUUAAGUUAUUCUAAUGAUUUUCUAAUUCCAUAAACAAGGUUCACGAAAAAUUAUACGUUUUGAACCUUUUUUGCUUUCUAUGGACUUAACAAUAGGGAUUCCUGGUGAAGAUUUCUGGAGGAUAUUUGUAGAGACAUGUGGGUGACUUGGAAACAUCUGUCAGAAUACCGUGUGAAACGGGAUGAAAAGGAAAAGUGAGGCAAAUAGAAACAAAGCGACUUACAGUUAGAUAUGCUUCUAUUAGGGUGACGGUGCCAUUAGUGGACUAGCUAAGCUAUAAAAAAAUCAUAACUAAAUAACGGAAAGCCUUACCAGAUAUCUUUUGGCGUCAACAGAAAGAUUUCAACCUCUACUAUAUGGGAAAAAUAUAAAAGGAGUGAUAAAACUAAU